GCCGACAUUUGGCGUAUGAAACGAAGAGACAUUA
rnacentral:snoRNA from 1 species